rnacentral:ncRNA from 1 species
CAAAAGACGAUGAGGGAGAGGCAGUAGUCGUUCAUGGGUGACAGUCAGAGAGAAGUCCGGGCGGUGAGAGGGCUUUCGUACAUGAACGGGCGAAUUACAACUCCUAAGUUGCAUACGUGAAAUAUUUUUCAUGUAUGACGGCGGCCAACCGUUAUAUCGGCAGUAAUAAAUGAGGUAUAUAUUUUUUUAAAUAUAUACAAAUUAAGGUGGUACCACGGGAGCUUUCUCGUCCUUAAG